CUGUUGUGCCAGGAUUGUAUUAGGUUUGAACUUCCGCCACCGCCCACAAACAAUCUGGAUGAAGAACUUGAGCAGCAACACACGAUAAUCCGCACAGAAAGCUUCCAGAAUCUGCACCUAUUCCAGCUAUGUCUCCUUGGAUUUUCCAAAAUGAGCAGCAACAUACGAUAACCUGCACAGAAAGCUUUCUAGAUCUUCCAGAAUCUGCAACUAUUCCAACUAUGUCUUCCUUGGAUUUUUCCAAAAUGGUAUGUGAUCGUUUAUUCAACCCCUGCAUGCCUCUCCGCUGUGAUUGGUCACGUACUCAAAGGCUCCCGAGGACUUCCUGACAGCUGCCGAACCCUAUUUUCUGAUAUGGUUGGUAUAGAAGUUUAUAAUCACACUGUGACCCUCUGACAACCAGCAUUCAGAACCAAUCCCAAACUUCUUUCAGAGCUCACUUCCAAAUGUACAACCAUCAUUAUCUGAAAUUUUGACAUCAUUUGACAUACAAAAAAAAAAAAAGCACAAACGGUCCCCUUUAAAUAAAAUCCAACCAGAUGCAUUAAAUGUGAUUGGCUUUUAUGAAGUCUUAGAAUAUUUUCACAGAAGCGGCACUUACGUGAGAUCGGCUCGCAGUACUGAUCGACUUGAGGAAUGGCAUUGAUGCAGUCGCAGGUUUCCGGAUUGGCAUCGCUACAUGCACCAAAAGUGUCACAGAAGUCACAUGACCAUGCAAACUGUUCCUCACACUGACAGAGCUGUUCCCCGGUUAAUGUUACGUAGCAUCCUGAAAAGAAAAUGACACUUAAUUAACUCAUAAAUGAAAACACUUUAGGGCAGGGGUCUCAAACACCCGGCCCUCUAACUAGGACACUAGUUAGAGGCCCCCGCCUUGAUAUGAAAGUUUAAUGUUAGUGCGGCCCGCGCAAGUUUGAUAUGGAUGCUGUAUGGUAUCAUGUACCCAGAAAAAAUUAUUACGUUUGAUUAAUGUUCAUGUUAAAGGUUAAAUAACUGUUAAUAGUUAUCCUCCCUAUCCG